AAUGUCCUGCUGAAAACUCAGCUGAGUUCCUGGCAGUGCGUGACGUCAAGACACUUUAAAUGCCCCUGAUACGGCUCCCUCCUGCCCGCUCUCCCUUUUCCCGGCCCUUGGCACCACGUGGGGGCGAGACUGAGAGGUUCUUACCACGUGGGAAUCAGCCAGUUAGACGGUCCCCGGGUAUCGCCAGAUCUGCCAGGCGCCCUCCUCUUGGACUGGGUUUCUGGGGCCGACAAGACGAACAUGGGCGACCCUUGCCUGCUUUGAACCCCAGCUUCUGCGGGAGUGGAUCUCAGAGUUUGGUGGAGAAUACGGAUUCCAGCCCCAGAAAUACUCAGCAAUUCACAUGGUUCCCCCAAGACUCCAGGUUCAGACUUCUGGUGCGCCCUUAAAUCCAAGUGAGAGGUCACCUUCAUCGCUGACAACGAGGGCCCAAUCCCAGCGAUACCCGGAGGUGCACCAGGUGGGUCAGAGCCACAGCUUUGUUCCAUCCUGGUAAGCUGUGACCCCUGACCCCUCAGGAGCGUUCACUCCCCUCACUGCCCUCGCCACCGUUCUCCCCUGAAAUCUACCUCUGAGCCUGCCUGAUAAAGGGACAAAAACCCUCUGCAGCCUCCGACUGACCCCAAUCCCCACCGGCUGAACGCUGCAGCUUCUCCCUCUUGAGCCGAAGCCUGGCCGCUUCCCUACUGUCUCCUUACUCCAUCCCGAUCUCCCCUUGGCUACCAGGAGCAUCAUCCUAAAAGUUAUAUGAAUAAAUACUCAGCCCUGUCGCCA
rnacentral:lncRNA from 1 species